rnacentral:lncRNA from 1 species
AGGUCUAUACCCGAGAAUUAAUAGUCAUCUAUGCCUGGUCCUAUUGUAUUUAAUAUUUCUCACUGAUUUAGAAGAGAUGACAUACUUCUCUGUCUUGAAGAUGGAAGGAACUGUGAAUGUACUGGCUGAUAGAAUUGGUAUCUAAAAAGAUCUUGACAGUUUAGAAUGAUGGGCCAUGUGUAGUAAUGAGCUUCCUUUCACUUUAAGUCUUCCAGCAGAGCCUGGAAGAUAAUUUUUAUAGGGUGGUAACUAAAAGUCCUUUUGGGUAUAGAUCUGUGUUACAGGAGUCAGCCUUGCCAAAGAAGAUGAAAUGGGAGAAUGACAAGACAAAUGAUAAGAACACUACUUCUCAUCCAGAUUUUGCAUGUAGAAAAAUGGAUAUGCAUGGGAUUUAUGAAGGGAUAGCAUGAAAGAUCAGUACUUUUGUAAUGAAAAGACCUGAGUUAUUU